rnacentral:rRNA from 1 species
AGGUAAGCUACUAAGAGCGAAUGGUGGAUGCCUUGACUGGUAAAGGCGAUGAAGGACGUACUAGACUGCGAUAAGCUACGGGGAGCUGUCAAGAAGCUUUGAUCCGUAGAUUUCCGAAUGGGGCAACCCAAUGUAUAGAGAUAUACAUUACCUAUAUAGGAGCGAACGAGGGGAAUUGAAACAUCUUAGUACCCUCAGGAAAAGAAAUCAAUAGAGAUUGCGUCAGUAGCGGCGAGCGAAAGCGCAAGAGGGCAAACCCAGUGCUUGCACUGGGGGUUGUAGGACUGCAAUGUGCAAGAGGUAAGUUUAGCAGAACAUUCUGGAAAGUAUAACCAUAGAGGGUGAUAGUCCCGUAUGCGAAAAACAAACCUUAGCUAGCAGUAUCCUGAGUAGGGCGGGACACGAGGAAUCCUGUCUGAAUCCGGGUCGACCACGAUCCAACCCUAAAUACUAAUACCAGAUCGAUAGUGCACAAGUACCGUGAGGGAAAGGUGAAAAGAACUGAGGUGAUCAGAGUGAAAUAGAACCUGAAACCAUUUGCUUACAAUCAUUCAGAGCCCUAUGUAGCAAUACAGGGUGAUGGACUGCCUUUUGCAUAAUGAGCCUGCGAGUUGUGGUGUCUGGCAAGGUUAAGCAAACGCGAAGCCGUAGCGAAAGCGAGUCUGAAUAGGGCGCUUAGUCAGAUGCUGCAGACCCGAAACGAAGUGAUCUAUCCAUGAGCAAGUUGAAGCUAGUGUAAGAACUAGUGGAGGACUGAACCCAUAGGCGUUGAAAAGCCCCGGGAUGACUUGUGGAUAGGGGUGAAAGGCCAAUCAAACUUCGUGAUAGCUGGUUCUCUCCGAAAUAUAUUUAGGUAUAGCGUUGUGUCGUAAUAUAAGGGGGUAGAGCACUGAAUGGGCUAGGGCAUACACCAAUGUACCAAACCCUAUCAAACUCCGAAUACCUUAUAUGUAAUCACAGCAGUCAGGCGGCGAGUGAUAAAAUCCGUCGUCAAGAGGGAAACAACCCAGACUACCAGCUAAGGUCCCUAAGUCUUACUUAAGUGGAAAACGAUGUGAAGUUACUUAAACAACCAGGAGGUUGGCUUAGAAGCAGCCAUCCUUUAAAGAAAGCGUAAUAGCUCACUGGUCUAGUGAUUUUGCGCGGAAAAUAUAACGGGGCUAAAGUAAGUACCGAAGCUGUAGACUUAGUUUACUAAGUGGUAGGAGAGCGUUCUAUUUGCGUCGAAGGUAUACCGGUAAGGAGUGCUGGAGCGAAUAGAAGUGAGCAUGCAGGCAUGAGUAGCGAUAAUUAAUGUGAGAAUCAUUAACGCCGUAAACCCAAGGUUUCCUACGCGAUGCUCGUCAUCGUAGGGUUAGUCGGGUCCUAAGUCGAGUCCGAAAGGGGUAGACGAUGGCAAAUUGGUUAAUAUUCCAAUACCAACAUUAGUGUGCGAUGGAAGGACGCUUAGGGCUAAGGGGGCUAGCGGAUGGAAGUGCUAGUCUAAGGUCGUAGGAGGUUAUACAGGCAAAUCCGUAUAACAAUACUCCGAGAACUGAAAGGCUUUUUGAAGUCUUCGGAUGG